UACGUAGGGCGCAAGCGUUGUCCGGAAUUAUUGGACGUAAAGAGCUCGUAGGCGGCCUGUCGCGUCCGCUGUGAAAUCCCGGGGCUUAACCCCGGGCGUGCAGUGGAUACGGGCUGGCUGGAGGCAGGCAGGGGAGAACGGAAUUCCCGGUGUAGCGGUGAAAUGCGCAGAUAUCGGGAGGAACACCGGUGGCGAAGGCGGUUCUCUGGGCCUGUACUGACGCUGAGGAGCGAAAGCGUGGGGAGCGAACAGG
rnacentral:rRNA from 1 species